UUGAUUUGUGAAAAACACCUGAGUACGGAACCCUCGGUGCGCGAGUCUGAAUCUCACUGAGCCGGUUUUUGUAUAAAAAAAGUAUUCCUCUUUUCUAAGUAUUUGCCUUUGAUGGGUCAGUUUUGAUAGCUUUCAGAGUCAGUUCAGAAAUCUGAACCGUUGGCAAUGGGAUCGAUGCAUUAAUUAAUAUUCAUAAAGAAUUAUUCUACAAAAAAAUAAAAUUGUGUAUUACCGAAGGUAGAAUAAAUUGUUCAGGGCCCUAAGUGUAACUUUCAAGUUAUCGUUGACUGUUGGCAAAUCUACCAUUUUUUUAAAUGCCAAAUAAGUGGUUUUCCUGUAUACUUUUGUUUUCCUUAGCUGACUUAAAAGAUAAACAAAUGAUAUAGUGCUCGACAAACAACUUGGACCUGACGCAGCUUAGUGGGAGAAAGUUGGCGAAUCCGGAAAACGAAAGUCUGCGUAUCAACCAAUCGCGUGCACUCGCGUCGACUGUUCAACCAAUCGCGUGCACUGGCGUCGACUGAUCAACCAAUCGCGUGCACCCGCCAAUCGCGUCAAUACUCAAGUUGUUUGCCGGGCACAGUAGAAACCUUAGAGAAACGCAUAAGCGACGGGAUUAGCCUGGCGCUUUACACUUUCUGGAGUUUUAAGUAUCUUUUUUUUUUUGUAAGUUCGGAGUACGAAGUGGUAAUUCAUGUACUACUUACCUAAUUUGGUUCAAUGUAUACUACUAAAAAUUACGCUAGAGCCCUGAUCAUAAAUAUUUAUUUUUGUUGUAAAUAAUGCAUUUGUGUAAAGAUAGUUUUUAAUAUGGCAUAAUAAAAUAGGUGAUUUGUUUAUAAUUUUUAUGAUAGUGUUUUCAACUACAAUAAUUUUAAAUAUCUCCAUAUAAAAAUUUUCGAAACUGGCAAGAAAUUUUUGAUAUGUAUUUAAAAUUAUUUAGGUGAUUUGUGUUUAUUGGGCUCUGGUCACACACAUCGCGUGAAGGGCGUGUCUUACCAGGGCUCAAAAGCGUUCGGGUGUUAGAAAUACCCGAAUUGUCGAUGGCAAAGAUUUUCGUACAAAACCUGUAUCGAAAUUGAUGCGGUAUGCACUGUAGAGAUGAUAUUAAUAUUUUAAGUUUAAAUUUAUUUUUAUAUAGGCGAUUGUGUAUGUAUGUGGUUAUAAAAUUACUAUUUACUACCUACUUAAUAGGUAUAAUGUUAAGGUGCAGACACAUUAAUGUGUUGUUGUGUGUUGUAUCGCAAACUGGUGUGAUAGUGAGCGCCUCGCCUGUGCGCAUUGUACAUGUGAGUCAUUGCAUUACGAAAUUAGACGUUUACAACGACAAUAGAUGAUAGAAUUAAUGUCGUGAAACUAAUUUCGUGUCACUAAUUUCGUAAUGUAAAUUCCACUUUAUAGUAGGGGUCUCGAAGCAUGAGCAAAGCAAUAAGUAUACUUGCGCACGAUAGAUAUGUGGUAGAAAGAUAUGUUGUAACUAAUGGGAGAGACAGAGUAUGACGUCAUAUUAUGACAGACAACCAAUCACGGCCACUGCUUCGCGGGCCCGGCAAUGCAUAUUCAUAUUAUGAUAUGACUUGAGUCCCCCAAAAUAUGAGUAUUAUGCACUCAAGGAUCCUUGCCUAAUGCUUGUACAGUGACCCUGUUUCCGAAUAACCUUGUAAUCUGCAGGACUCCGAAUUUCUUCUGUCAUGUCAGGAAUGUCUUCUGUCAUGUGACACAGCACAACACAGUUAUGCGUCUGCAGCUUUAAUGAUAACAGGUACAAUACAACAUUCACUUAAAUAUAGCGAAAUAAUUCAUGCCUUUAUUAGAUAUAGGUAUAAAUAUUUAUUUAUAAUGAAAGUAGUUGAGUUAAAAUAAGUUUUUUUUGAUAAAUAAAAGCCUUUAAU